GAGAACCAGACAAUCACACCCAUCCACUUACAAAAUCUAAUGGCUCUUAAUCCUCCCGUGUUUAACGCUGCAAACACGCAUUAUAAGCAACUAAAUAAUGCAUCGAUCGCUGACCCCGCUGCCGUUCGAAAAAGAAAAAAACUACCAACAACGCACGCACGCACGCACGCCCCCCGCACGACCUCUCGCCCCAUCCUCAUCCUCCCAUCCGACGCCAGCGCACGGGCGGGGACGCCGUUCCUCCCGCGCCCGCGCCGUUCCCCGCCCAAGUGGUUCGCCGCCCCGCCGCCCCGCCGCCACCCGUCCUCCCGCGCCGUCGCCGCCCGCCGUCCUCUCCUCCCGUGUCUCCUGCCGCUUGCCCCCACAUCGUGGUGCGCCAUAGGUGCCAUCCAGAUCGAGCACGGGGCAAAUCACCCCGCGUCUUCACCGACGGCAUCGGCUGUCUCAGGUCUAGGGUUUGCCCUGGUUCUCACGACUCCCUGUGUGCGGCUGUAGCGGUGGGAUGGACGGCGCCGGCGCCAUUGCGGACUCGCUGUUCGGCCGGCCCGUUGUGGUUCGGUUUUGUUUUGGUUGAUGCGGCUGUCUACCGAUGGAUUGACCAUUGGGGUUUGGAUUAGGUGCUUUUCUGGCUGAUUGGAUGGGUUUGGUGUCGACCAGUGCUUACCGUGGACAACACGACAGCAGUAAGAGCAGCGGCGACAGCUCGGACGCAACGCGCUUGGCCUGCGUCAGCGGCGGCGGCGGGGUCCAUCUCCUCCCUGGAGCAGCGGUGGUGGCGUGGGACACAGCGGGCUCGGCCGCGAAGAUGGAUUUCUCCGGCGGGGCAUUUGAAAAUGUCGAUAUGUCGACGAAUCCUCGCCUCUGUUCCUCGACCUUGCGUGAGGGAAGCCGCUGUCGCUGUUCCUCUACGCGACGGUGAUACACAUGGCGUAGCCUCUCCCUGAUCUUAUACUGCGUGCCUUGUUCAUCCAUAUAUGAUCUUAUUUUGUUUCAGUUUUUUGCUAGAUUUAACAUUGGCCUUUGUUCAAAUCCUAUUCAUGUUGAACCAUUGAAAGCGAGCACACAAAGCUGCAGAGGCAACCAGUCCAAAGGAAUCAGUACGGUCAUGCCAGUUCAUCCAACUGUUCACGCUCAACUACGUGUUGCAUUGCAAUUUGCAAGUAACCUUGCUUCAACAUAAAAAGAAUUGGGUGAUGGACGUGAUAUCAACAUGGUUAUGGACUACCAUGUAUGUACAUAAAUAUGUAUUCCCUUUGGCGUCGAGCUGCCGCCACCGCGGACUAGGCCGGCGGCAGGAGGGGAUAUGGGAUGGACCUGGCGGUGAUAGGGUUGGGGUCCCCUGGCGUUGCCCAGGGGAGGUGACGCGAGGGGGUGAAGAGACGCAACUUGAAACAUGACCCCGAGACCGCUGCUGAUGCCGCUGUGAUCGACUACGUCACCGACGACCCUCCUUCCCUUUCGACAGAGCUUCUAGGCAAGCCAACCCCCUUGAUCAUUCCGAUAUCGCCUAGUUCAUUCUCUCUCAUGCUUGCAUUAGAUUUUGCUAUUGUUAAUGAUUGCUCCUAUUCUGAUGCAUAGCCUGCUUUUGUAACCUGCUCAUUGUUCUACCUCCUUAUCCUAAACUGUUUAGUAUAGGUUGGUUACUGAUCCAUCAGUGACCCCACCUUGUCCUUGUUGCCCCUGCUUCAUGUAACAUCCCAAAUUUUUAAUUUGAAUGUUAUACAUUAGAUCA